rnacentral:rRNA from 1 species
UACGGAGGGGGCUAGCGUUGUUCGGAAUUACUGGGCGUAAAGCGCACGUAGGCGGCUUGGUAAGCGUGCGGUGAAAGCCCGGGGCUCAACCCCGGGUCGGCCGUGCGAACUGCUGGGCUGGAGCACUGUAGAGGCAGGUGGAAUUCCGGGUGUAGCGGUGGAAUGCGUAGAGAUCCGGAAGAACACCGGUGGCGAAGGCGGCCUGCUGGGCAGUAGCUGACGCUGAGGCGUGAAAGCCAGGGGAGCAAACGGG